rnacentral:rRNA from 1 species
ACUCAAAUGAAUUGACGGGGGCCCGCACAAGCAGCGGAGCGUGUGGUUUAAUUCGAUGCAACGCGAAGAACCUUACCAGGGCUCGACAUCCCGUGCUCAAGGCCGGAAACGGUCUGCCCGCGAGGGGAACGGGACAGGUGCUGCAUGGCUGUCGUCAGCUCGUGCCGUGAGGUGUUGGGUUAAGUCCCGCAACGAGCGCAACCCCCGGGGCUAGUUGGUUCUCUAGCCCGACUGCCGGGACCAACCCGGAGGAAGGUGGGGAUGACGUCAAGUCAGCACGGCCCUCACGUCCUGGGCCACACACACGCUACAAUGGCCGGUACAGCGGGCGGAGCCAAGCCGCGAGGCGGAGCGAAUCCCACUAAAGCCGGCCCCAGUCCGGAUCGGGGGCUGCAACCCGCCCCCGUGAAGUCGGAGUUGCUAGUAACCGCGGGUCAGCACACCGCGGUGAAUGCGUUCCCGGGCCUUGUACACACCGCCCGU